rnacentral:miRNA from 1 species
UAAGUCCCCCAACUCUUAAAUCC